GAGAAAAGUAGGCUGUGUCCCUCCUCCUGAUCUCUCGCUUCCGGGUCGUUGUAUGUGCCGCUAGCAUCCGAGCACAGAUCCGGCGUCUUCACCGCGGUCGAGCCGAUCAGUCGGGGCGGUGUUUAUUGCCGCAACCAGAGCAUUGUGCUGAAGGCCGACGGGGGUGGUGGUGGUUCUCCUGGGUGGUGGUGGUCCUGUGUGAUCCCUUUUUAAGAUUUUCUUUGUUUACACGUCACCUUUUGCUGUGUGUGUGUGGGGUGUCCUCCUUUUCCUUUUGGAUGUCACUUCCCCUACCAAACCCCUCCUCCAGCCGGUAAGCCUCAGACUACAUCCCCCUUUUAGUUGGGCUCUUUUCUUUUUUGUGUUACAGUGCCAAUCUCAUGAUUGUUUUAAGAAUAAAAUUGUUAGACAUGAUCAUUGAACUCCGUCUCAUUCCCUCCCUGAGUAAACGAACCUGAGUGUCUUUUUGUCUGAAGGUACUAGUUGACCUUUACUACUGGUCCUUGGGCCAUAACCCAAGGUGGCGUUGUCGGUAUUUGGAGUAAUAAUAGUAUUUAAUAGUAAUAACCCUCG